CCUACGGGCGGCAGCAGUGAGGAAUAUUGGUCAAUGGGCGCGAGCCUGAACCAGCCAAGUAGCGUGAAGGAUGACUGCCCUACGGGUUGUAAACUUCUUUUUUAAAGGAAUAAAGUGAGGCACGCGUGCCUUUCUGUAUGUACUUUAUGAAUAAGGAUCGGCUAACUCCGUGCCAACAGCCGCGGUAAUACGGAGGAUCCGAGCGUUAUCCGGAUUUAUUGGGUUUAAAGGGGGCGUAGCUGGGUUGUUAAGUCAGUUGUGAAAGUUUGCGGCUCAACCGUAAAAUUGCAGUUGAUACUGGCAGUCUUGAGUACAGUUGAGGUAGGCUGAAUUCGUGGUGUAGCAGUGAAAUGCUUAGAUAUCACGAAGAACACCGAUUGCGAAGGCAGCUUACUAAACUGCAACUGACAUUGAUGCUCGAAAGUGUGGGUAUCAAACAGGAUUAGAUACCCUUGUAGUC
rnacentral:rRNA from 1 species